AAUAGCCACCCACGAAAUGAGACUCUGCUUAAGAGUCUGGUGUGUACAUGGACAAAGGCAGAAGAAAGGAAAUACUAUUUCCUAUCUUCCUGAUGGGGCAUUGAAUUUUGUGUUGUUAUUGUGAUUGUGUAAAUGAGGUAACUGCACACACAUGGUCUGCUAUAGGGUUGGUGGGUGCACUUUUCAUAGUCAGUAUAUUCAGGAACUUACAGUUGUGAGCAUGAAAAUACACAUAUAGCUGUUAAAUAGCCUCUAUUUGAAAAAUGACAUUAAGAAGAUAAAUAGUACACAGUUUACUGGAGAGGGGGGCGGGGAACAUCACUGCUGGCUUCCUGGCAAAACAUUUAAGAUACUAGAAUACAGGCACCAAGCUGCCACACAGAUAAAUGCUGCAAGGGCACUGGUGUAAUGCAAAAAAAAUUUGGGUGGAGCUGCCUGCUUCCAACUGCUUGAACAACGAAACAAGGGAGAAAUUAACAAUUUUAGUAGUAAGUUACAUGGAAAGCUAACAAAACACAAGGCUUUGUGUCCUAAAAUGAAACUAAGCAUGAUGUUACAAAGGCACUUGCCAACUAACUAGGGCUGGAUGCUGAGGAGCAGUAUUCUGUGCUAGAGAUAAUAGAUGCCUGCAUGUUUUGCUUCAGUCCUGUAUAAGAUCUGCAAGCUUAGAAUGUGCACAAACUGGUACAUUUUCAUGGUAAUUUUGAAAGCAUUUUGAAUAGUAAGUACAUUUCAGUUAGGAAAUGUGACAAUUAGAGAAAAUGAUAACCUGAACUAGUAGGUUCAAGAGAUCUUUUACUACUAUGUAUGUGUCCUAGGGCCAUCCCUCUGAAGUCUGCACAGGAGCAUCUCGGGCAUUCUCACUGGUUCUUUCUCACUUGGGCGUGUUAGAAAGACUGGACCAAUGACUAGUCACUUUCAGAGCUCCAUUCCUGCUGGCAAUAUAACCCAGAAGUUCAUAGCAAAAAAGUCCAAAACAGAGCCAGGCAAUGAGUGGGUCACAGCGAGCAUUCAAGGAUUUUAUAGUCAAAACUACCACACAUGUAAGUACAACAUGUGGUGUUGCAAUACUAUGAGUCUGUAAUUCUAAUGCACUUACUGGAAUUAGCAAGGAUCUCCACUGCAUGGUUAACAUCUAUGCUUCAGAGGCUGACUAUUUCAGUGUCAUCAAGGUGUCAGCCAAAAAUUCUGAAGCUGCACUAAGAUUUGCUGUGGAAGAGAAGACUCCAAAAUAUGUACAGCUUUUGGCCCCCUUUCAGGAAGGGGCUGAUUGUGGAAUACAGUACAUGUCAGGCUUUUUUAUGUUUUAAUGACUCAUAUUCUGGACCUUAUUCCUGUUUGUCUUUCAACACCAAACACAAAUUGCUGUUUAGCUCAAACUGCUGUUUUGGUAAUAGAAGUAGACAUCAGUUUUAUCUAUGGAUUUUACAGCUAUACAUAUUUCAGAGUGAAGUUCCCUGUUUAGGCUACUGCUGACAUUUAGCUGUGGCAGUGUUAUACCAGCUUUUAGUGCUACCUCUGCCACAUUACUUGUGCAUUCACAGUUGUGGGAUAUAGCUGGUGUCCUGUAUCAGAUAUAGCUACUUUUUUUUGUUCAUGCAGGCUGCAAAUGCAGCACCUUCUCCUCCCUGAGAGGAAAAAGCUCCUGCUUUCAGACCACCUCCUCCUGCCACCACACUGUCCUGGUGCUUAUCUUUUCAGCUUUUCCUUCCCUCUGGUGUGAUCCUGCAUCCUGGCCCAUCCCUGGCUGCUACAAGCUCUGCUGUGUCCCACCUCUUUGCUGGGCUGUUCCCUGACCCCAGCUCCCCAGACUCUUGCUUACUGCUUCCUGGUGAGUGCCGGCUUUGAGGGGGAACCUCAGCUCAUGCCUCACAGAGGGGUUUAGCCUGUAUUCUGCUCUGUGCCUCAUCUCGGAUGCUGGUGUGUGUCUGUUGUGAAGUACACUGUGCUGCUGCCCUGGAACCAGUGCCUCAGAGGCACACAUGGGAAUGAGAGACCUGUUAGCUCAGGUGCCAGAAGUCUGGCACCACCAAAUGAGGUUGCUACAGGCCAUAAUCCCUUUCCGUCAGGUAACUGAGUGAGCUGAAGCAUUUCUGUACAGCACGAAGUCUGCAUAAUUUAAGCAUCUUCCCUUAACAAGAGCCGUGGUGACCUAUCAGAUGGUGCUGAGAACAGAAAUUGUUAAAGUAAAGGGGAGUGUUCUGGUUUGGGUGCCUGCUGGUUUAACUCCAUGUGUGUAAGACUUCAGUGAAUUUCCUUCAGUUCUUAUCGGAGUAUGUGGCUCUCCACCUUCAACUCGAAGCAGCAGGAGUUCAGAAGAUGGAUCUUUAAACUGAUUUGUGCACAGACACUCAGAUCCUGAGCUACAGCCAAAGGUGUGGGUUGAGGGAGAAAGUACAAAACCAGCUUUAGGCUACCUUUGAAUUCUUCCACAUCUGUAUUAUUUUGCUUUCUCUGAUUAAAUAAAUAAGAUUUUAACUUGCAGAAUAGCCAAAUGUGAGUUGGCUAUCAGUUAUCCCAGGGUCUCUACUACCAGCUAAUGUCUAGAAGGCUGAAAGCACCUCUUAAGGCUACUGUUUUCUUCCUUCCCAACUUCAUAAGGCUUUCCUGCAGGUAAGAGGAACCUUAAAAUGGCUUGUUCUGUUAUUUAGUUCUGAGGGGGCUUUGCUCACGAGAACAGGACAACUGAGCACAGGAUGAUUGAUUUUACUUACAUAGAUAACAAGGUGGCUUCUGUGAAAUUUUCCGGUCCCUUUCAAACUGAUCCUGUUUUUGCAGUCAACAUGGUUUAACCCCAACUGGCAACUAAGUACCAUGCAGCCACUCUCUCACUUGUCCCCCUGUGGGAUGGGGAGAACUGGGAAAAACUAAAUCCCAUUGGUUGAGAUAAGAAAGUCUAAUUGUCAAAAAUAAAGCACAAUAUAAUACUACUAGUAGUAAUAAUAAUGAAAAGGGAAAUGAGAUAAAACUAAAAGGAGAAAAAACCCAACCAAACAACAAAAAAACCCCAACAACAAGCAGCAGUGAUGCACAAUACACUUGCUCACCACCAACCGAUACCCAGUGCAACCCAAGCAGCAACUGGUCCCUCCCAUCCAGCUCUCCCUAGUUAAUAUGCCGGGCAUGACGUACUGUGGUAUGGAAUACUCCUUUAGCUAGUUUGGGUCAGGUGUCCUGUCUCUGCUUCCUCCUGGCUUCUUGUACCCCUCCACACUGGCAGAGCAUGAGACUGAAAAGUCCUUGAUCAGGGUAAAUGCUGCUGAGCAACAGCUAAAACAUUGAUGUGUUGUCAGCAUUGUUCUCAGAUUGAAGCCAAAGCACAGCAUUGCACCAGCUACUGGGGAGAAAAUUAGCUCUGUCCCAGCUGAAACCGGGAUGGCAGUACAUACAAUCCAACGUUCCUUUUCCUCUGAGCUGCUGUGGUCUGCCCUUCUUGGUUUUGCCUUUGGUUUUGUUUGGUGUUUUUUUCUGGUCAACUCUUUUGCCCAGACUUUCUAUUCAGGACAGUUCAUAUCCACCUGAAAGAUUCUGGUAACAGAAGGAUGUUCUUACUACUCAUUGGUUGGAGUUGAUAUUCAUGCUCUAAAUUAACAGAAGUUAGUGGCAGCGCCCACAUUUCAUUGUAACUGUACAUACGGUUUAGCUCUUACAAAUAACAAAUUAGUUUUUAUUUAGUAGCUAGAAAGCGGUUAUUUUACUGAGACUUAGAAGCAGACCAUUCAGCCCAGAGUUACUGGCCUUUCAGUAUUGUGGAUUUAUGGUUUCUUUAUUGUCUUGUAACUACAGUGUUACAGUAUCCAGACUUGGGAUUAUUCCCUUGUCCUUCCUGCAAGUGGCUGCAGGGGCAUGGAGGUAGUGGAGAAGACACACCCCUGGUCAGAAACAACUUCCCCUGGUCCUCAUGCAGGCCUUAAUGGUGGUGAAGGACCCUGGCAGAGAGGAGAGUGGACAAGCAUCCUGUAUGUGUAGGUAGGUGAUGCCCAUGCACACAGCCUAGAUUAACUGGCAGAGCUAUUUUAGCUUCCAAGCAAGUACUUCCAGCCCAUGGAAAUGGGCUCACCUCACUGUUGUGGUCACAGCACAAGAGAAACAGGACACAAACUUCUUAGCAUCUCCAGAGCAGCCUGGUGGUCGUAUGGUAGGGAAAAUAGCAAUAUACUGUUCAGUGCCCCAGAGAGAGGAGGUAAAGCCUACAAACCCCAAUGGUGACCUGAGCCUAGGGAUGAGCCCUCAUUAGCUCUGCAGCCUAGCUGAGCCCCUUCCAUUGCUCACAGCCCUGAGGAGCCUAACCCUCUGCUGCUUCAGACAUUGGGUUUGCUAAGUCGGAACAACUUCCCAUAGCUUCCCACUUGCCUUCUCGUACGACCCAGCCAGUUUUCUCUCCCCUGCCUCGCAGAACUGUUCCACCUCUCCCAGUCAUGUUCCCCCUUUUACUCUUCCUACAGUGUUUUCAGAAAUGCACAAGGGCUGUCCCAUUACCCUACCCCUCAGUAAGGGAAGAUGGAGUACGGAGGUCAGCAGCCUUAGAUCUGUUUCUGCCCAAACGGGUUCACCUGGAUGCUGUUUCCCAGCCAGCAUGCCUGUGAGGUGGGAGAAGGGAAAGGUGAGAAGGAAAAGCAGGAGAAAUCAGGAGCAGCAAGGCUUGUUCUGAAAGAAUUAGAUAAAACUGCUCGAGGCAAGGAGGCUGGUGUGGGCUGUUGUUUUUGUGUCUGUCCCCAGGAGCUGGGUGAUACACGGCUCGUGGGACAGCCUUCCCUUCCUCCUCUGGGUGUUUCCCGUUCCCAGGCCAGUUUUAAGGCACUAAACAUCCAACACAGAAGUGGAUUAGGGUGAAGAGGGGGUAAGGACCUGAUUGGCAGGAGGAGGGCUCUGCCGUUGGAGGUCUGGCAGCACUGAAUGUGGACACAACAUAGGACAGCAGCCAGCACUCACCCUUUUGUGGGAAACAGCCUCUUUUCAAGUUCUGUUCUUUCACUGCUGUGUUCACUGGUCUUUACCUGUUACCUGUGUUUUCCAUUAAACCUUGAUCUUUCCAGGCUGGCUAACAAGAAGGCUCUUUCCCAUCUCCCCUGUGCUCAGACCCUGGUACCUGAAGGAGCUCUCCCUGCAAAGCCUAGGCUCAGCCUAACACUUUUAUCCAACCCUAAAGCCAGUAUUUUUUCAGAAGCCAUAUUUAUGACCGCAGAUGAAUUAGAUACAGAUUGCUUAAUUUGCAUAGGUGCCAGACACAGAGAUGCACAAAACUUGGCAGGUAUGCCUAGACACAAGGCGGGUGCAUGUUGCAAGAAGGAAGAGGCAGGGCCCAUGUUUGUGUUGCUGUGGGGACUGCUGCUGACAGGGCAAAAGGGGUUUACUGGAACCCGAAAGCUUCAGAUCAAAGCUAUGAAAGGGCGUUUAAUUCCAUUCUGCUCUCUGCCUGUGCUGCACUAGCACUCUGUUAUGCUUUCCUUUAAGCAAAAACUUCCACUGUGGUCAAAUCAUUAUGCAUAUGGAGGAGCUGCCAGCAUAAGGCAGCUACAGGAGGUUUUGGCAAAUCAGCUGAGUUUGAGACCCUGUGGUUGGACACUGUCAGGUUUAGCAGUGAUGGCUACACAUGGCUCGUGUCCCAUCUCCACCUCCCUGCCGUAGCCUCUGCACCAGUGGUGGCCAAAGCAGGGCCUUGCUGCUUCAAUCUGCACAGGCCCUGGGCUAGGCUCAGUGGCAAAACAACUCUCACCAGCAUCUACUCUUGUUUCCAAGCUGCUGGGGCAGACAACACUGGGAGAGGGUUACAGCAGACACGGGGGAGAACCUUGUAACAGAGUCAGGCACAGGCUGCAUACUAGACGCAGAUAAUGUGUGUGAAGAUAUUCCAGCAAUUUGAUCUCUGCUGUUUCAACCUGCCUUAGCAUGGAAAUAGAUUCAGAGAUCCCUCCCAGCCUUAUUUCUUCCAGUCUUCAUAAUAUCUAUGGAACAUGAUCAAAAAGAGGUGGGUACCUCUUGUUUCCAAAGAUUUUUUUCCAACUGGUAAAAAUAUUAACUACAUAUAUAGUAAAACAAAAGCAAGAACAACCCAAAAACCAAAACAACAAAAGAAAA